GACGAACACUGGCGGCGUGCUUAACACAUGCAAGUCGAACGAUGAAGCUGGAGCUUGCUCCGGUGGAUUAGUGGCGAACGGGUGAGUAACACGUGAGAAAUCUGCCCUUGACCCUGGGAUAACGGCGGGAAACUGUAGCUAAUACCGGAUAUUUUCCUUGGUGGGCAUCCACUGGGGAAGAAAGAAUUUCGGUCAAGGAUGAUCUCGCGGCCUAUCAGCUAGUUGGUGAGGUAAUGGCUAACCAGGGCGCCGACGGGUAGCCGGCCUGAGAGGUGGACCGGCCACACUGCGACUGAGACACGGCCCAGCCUCUUACGGGAGGCAGCAGUGGGGAAUAUUGCACAAUGGGCGCAACCCUGAUGCAGCAACGCCGCGUGAGGAAUGAAGGCCCUCGGGUUGUAAACCUCUUUUAGCAGGGAAGAAGCGAAAGUGACGGUACCUGCAGAAAAAGCACCGGCUAACUACGUGCCAGCAGCCGCCGUAA
rnacentral:rRNA from 1 species